UGCUAGUCACUGAGAGGAAGUGGUCGCGGGUGCUGCCGCCUCUAGAUGCACGCAUGAGAGAUCAGGCGCCGUCACUAGACUCGGGCUCUAGUGUGGGAGAGGAAGAGGGAGGCUCGGGGGAGGGAAGAAGACGCGAUGACGCCACUGUGAGCUCGGGCUCGGGCUCUAGUGACGAAGAGGGAGAUGGUGGCACGGGAAAGGGAGAGAGUGCGUUGUCACUCGGGCACAGGAGGGGAGGGAGCUGUGGCGCUGAGAGAUGUUGUGAGAGA
rnacentral:lncRNA from 1 species